UACGUAGGGUGCAAGCGUUAAUCGGAAUUACUGGGCGUAAAGGGCGCGUAGGCGGCCAUCUAAGUCAGACGUGAAAUCCCCAGGCUUAACUUGGGAACUGCGUCCGAUACUGGAGGGCUUGAGUGCGGGAGAGGGAUGUGGAAUUCCAGGUGUAGCGGUGAAAUGCGUAGAUAUCUGGAGGAACACCGGUGGCGAAGGCGGCAUCCUGGACCGACACUGACGCUGAUGCGCGAAAGCUAGGGGAGCAAACGGG
rnacentral:rRNA from 1 species